GCACAAGCAGUGGAGUAUGUGGUUUAAUUCGAAGCAACGCGAAGAACCUUACCAGGUCUUGACAUCCAACUAACGAAGUAGAGAUACAUUAGGUGCCCUUCGGGGAAAGUUGAGACAGGUGGUGCAUGGUUGUCGUCAGCUCGUGUCGUGAGAUGUUGGGUUAAGUCCCGCAACGAGCGCAACCCUUGCUAUUAGUUGCUACGCAAGAGCACUCUAAUAGGACUGCCGUUGACAAAACGGAGGAAG
rnacentral:rRNA from 1 species